rnacentral:rRNA from 1 species
CGCAUCUGUGCAUGCAGCAUAUCAAUAAGCGGAGGAAAAGAAACUAACAAGGAUUCCCUUAGUAACGGCGAGUGAAGCGGGAAGAGCUCAAAUUUGAAAUCUUCAAGGUUUUACCUUGACGAAUUGUAGUUUAAAGAAGUGUUUUCUGUUGAAGUUUUGGUAAAAGUUCUUUGGAAUAGGACAUCAUAGAGGGUGAGAAUCCCGUAUUUGACCAUUAUUUUCAGCUGUGUGAUACACUUUCAAAGAGUCGGAUUGUUUGGGAAUGCAGUCCAAAAUGGGUGGUAAAUUUCAUCUAAAGCUAAAUAUUGGCGAGAGACCGAUAGCGAACAAGUACCGUGAGGGAAAGAUGAAAAGAACUUUGAAAAGAGAGUUAAACAGUACGUGAAAUUGUCAAAAGGGUAGCGUUUGACACCAGUGUUGUUUUCUCGAAAAUCAAUUAAAAAGAGUUUAGAUUUUGUCGUGUAUUGACCUUAACAGCUUGCAUUUCAAUUUUCUUGCUUUUUUUAAUGCACUUUUCGUUUAACAAGUCAACAUCAGUUUCUUUUGUUGUAAAAAGGUCAUUGGAAGGUGGCUUUCUUUUCGGAGAAAGUGUUUAUAGCCUUUGACUCCUGCAAUCGGAGAGACUGAGGUCUGCAGCGUAGAUCCUUCGGGGUUAGAUACAUUUGUGCUAAGCUACAGCUUUUCAUAGACAACUUGUUGACUAUGUUUAGUCUUGUGACUUACCCGCUUAUGCUAUUUUACCUACGCUUAGGAUGUUGACGCGCGUGUGUGCGUG